UGGAUUGCCACAAAGUGGUUGUGGCUCAGAUUCAUUGUUGUAUAUCUGACGUAGCAUCCCAGUCCCCAUCUGCUUCACUCACUUCAGCAUAUCAACAAACAAUAAAAGUGCACAAUCAAACCACCACGACACUCUUUCCCACACACAACGUGCCACCACUCUCUCUCUCUCUCUCUUUAAAACUUUCCAGAAACACCCCAAAAAACAACAAAAAAA
rnacentral:lncRNA from 1 species